CCUACGGGUGGCUGCAGUGGGGAAUAUUGGACAAUGGGGGCAACCCUGAUCCAGCCAUGCCGCGUGUGUGAAGAAGGCCAUCGGGUUGUAAAGCACUUUCAGUGAGGAAGAACGCCUGGUGGUUAAUACCCAUCAGGAAAGACAUCACUCACAGAAGAAGCACCGGCUAACUCCGUGCCAGCAGCCGCGGUAAUACGGAGGGUGCGAGCGUUAAUCGGAAUUACUGGGCGUAAAGCGCGCGUAGGUGGCUUGAUAAGCCGGUUGUGAAAGCCCCGGGCUCAACCUGGGAACGGCAUCCGGAACUGUCAAGCUAGAGUGCAGGAGAGGAAGGUAGAAUUCCCGGUGUAGCGGUGAAAUGCGUAGAGAUAGGGAGGAAUACCAGUGGCGAAGGCGGCCUUCUGGACUGACACUGACGCUGAGGUGCGAAAGCGUGGGUAGCAAACAGGAUUAGAUACCCUGGUAGUC
rnacentral:rRNA from 1 species